UACGUAGGGUGCAAGCGUUAUCCGGAAUUAUUGGGCGUAAAGCGUCCGCAGGUGGACAUACAAGUCUGCUGUCAAAGUGCAGAGCUUAACUCUGUAAAGGCGGUGGAAACUGUAGGUCUUGAGUAUGGUAGGGGUAGAGGGAAUUCCCGGUGUAGCGGUGAAAUGCGUAGAUAUCGGGAAGAACACCAGUGGCGAAAGCGCUCUACUGGGCCAUAACUGACACUGAGGGACGAAAGCUAGUGGAGCGAAAGGG
rnacentral:rRNA from 1 species